rnacentral:lncRNA from 1 species
CCGCCUCCCACUGGCCGAGUCCCGGAGGGAUGUGAAGGGACGACUGGGACUGGGGAGUUAGGAAGGUCUGACGGCUGCCACGUGCGGCGGCGGGUCUGCUGUGUGCAACUCGUUUUUCCAGGAAUCAAGUCUGGACUCGGCCUCCUCCCCAUCUUCCGCCGCCUCCCCCGCAGUUCGCUUCCUUUCACCACCUGCGUGCCUGCGGGUCUUUGCAGAGUAUCCCCCUCGUCCAAGCCCAAGAAGCUACCUGCCUUUCUAACUGCUUGUGGGCACUGGCUUGACGUCCCAGGAACUGUCCACUUUGCCUGCUGUCCUGUGCUUGCUCCAGCCAAAGUGCCUCAUUUCCACCGCUUUGGGGAGAAACUCGCCCUUGUGGCCCUGUUGGAAAGCAGAAAUUAAGGAGUUUACAGGCGUGGUGACAGUAGGAUUUGCUGAGAGCAGAGAACAACCACGAUUCCCAGGCCAGUAUCCACGGGGCAUUCUCACCAACCCAUUCAAGUGCAGGGGCGUCAAGAAAACUCAGCUUCCAUUGACGAGCCUAAUCUCCACUCAGGCCUGACUGGCCAGUGUCUUAGAGACACAGGUGACCCUGAUCCCUCAGGAACAGACAGACUGUGUUCCAGCUUUGGGAGAGCCAUGUGCGAGGUGCAGAGCGCCUGGGCGGCAUUUGAAACCUGUCGGCUUUAACAUCUCUGCUUUGGAAGGAAGCUCAUCACAGACAGCAGUCAGCGAUGUGACUUUGACUUGCCUGGUCUGAUCUGUUGGAUUUUUCUGUCUGGAAAUGGAAAUACCCAGAAGCACUUCUGCUGCCAUUUAUCCUCUUAAUAAUUGACGUCCCUAUAUUCCUUAUGCCCUAAGGGACAGUUCCUUUGAUUGCUGGGUGGUACAGAAGUAAACACAUGUAGGGACGCUAGGUUAUCAAAGCACAUAUUCAUCACGAACACAAUGUGGCCCUACCACACGACAGGAGAUGCGCCUGGAGGACGCGCAGGAGGUGCUACGUUAACAGCGGCGCCGCUGAGCAGCGGAGUUACUGAUCUACUUUAUUUCCAUCUUAAUUUUUCAAAUUUACUACAACAUGAUUAUAAUAAGG